AUGCAAAUGGUUAACAUGCUUGGCUGCUAACCAAAAGAUUGGGGGUUUGAGUCCCCC
rnacentral:tRNA from 1 species